UUGGUUUCAUGUUUUCAUUGAUCGGCAAUACGUCAAAUGAAUCAAAUUAAAUUUGUGUGCUGCUAAAUGAAGCCAAAUAUAAAAUGUUCCCCUCGCUAUCCUGUGUCUACUUUUAAUGUUGCAUUUGGACGUUGGGAAACUUACAUUU